rnacentral:rRNA from 1 species
UACGUAGGGUGCAAGCGUUGUCCGGAAUUAUUGGGCGUAAAGAGCCCGUAGGCGGUCUGUCGCGUCGGCUGUGAAAUCCCGAGGCUCGACCUCGGGUCUGCAGUCGAUACGGGCAAACUGGAGUGUUGCAGGGGAGACUGGAAUUCCUGGUGUAGCGGUGAAAUGCGCAGAUAUCAGGAGGAACACCGGUGGCGAAGGCGGUUCUCUGGGCAUGAUCUGACGCUGAGGAGCGAAAGUGUGGGGAGCGAACAGG